UAGACAGAUUAUUGUAUUCGACUGUAUUCACGGUGUGAAACAGGGAGAUUACAUUGUUUUUAAAUAUAAAGUGAAUCAAUUAACAUAAUAGACUCCU
rnacentral:pre_miRNA from 1 species